rnacentral:lncRNA from 1 species
AUUCAGGAUGGACUUAAGGGCUUUCAGCUUCCUUCCAGCUCUUUCCAUGCUUAGAAAGGGAAGAAAAAAAAAAAAAAGCCAGGGACUGGCUCCCAAGUGUCACCACACAACAGUUGUUCUGACUCUCCGUCCCCAGUCUGAAUUUGGCUACAUUUGUGUCUGCGUUUAACUCACACAAGUAUAAGGACAGCCGUCAGAGGAGCCAGAAACUACAUCGAGAGCGCAACUGCUUUCGCAACAGCCUUUGUGACAACUAGAGUCGCUCAAGAGAAUGAUUUCUUUUCUGAGAUGGACUCUGGGGCUCCACCCUUCUCAACUCAGCCGUUGUUCUACAAUAUAUCUGGCCUUCGAUGGAGACUUACCGUAACCUUCAAACACCACAACCUUAUCACAGCUGCCACCCUGUCCCUUCUGUUGCUUCCCUGGAAACCUCUGUGGAGGGGCACUUCUCCUUGUGUUCAGGAAGUGCAAACAUUAACAUAAGAGCAGUUUAGUGAGGAUAUUUGCUUGCAUCUGGGUACAAACAUGAAAGGGUUCCCCCCCCCCCCGUAAUUGUUACUAAGUGUACUCUGUCAAAAUUCUCUGCCUGCCACUUGCCAUAAGCCUCCUUAGUGGCACCUCAGCUCAGUGCCCUGGAUCCCGAAAGUCUUAAGGCUGGCAGUAUUCAUUUUCAAUGUCUAAAGUCAGUUGCUUUCAAAGUCUCUGCCUCCUCCUUCAAAGAGGUAGAGGUGAUAAUCCUUAGUAUUAGCACCCCCCCCCACUUACUCCCCAGCCCAACCCCGACAACACUUGCUAUAGGAUCUGAAGGCUCUUCCUUGCCCUAGAGAGGCUGCUGUGUUCUCUGUAGGGCGUAGCUGCUUAUUUGACCAGUGUUGACUACGUGGCUCUGUUUCUUUGGAGUUUUACAUAGAAAAUCUCAUGUCUCUGGCUUUUCCCCCUCUCCAGACAGGGUUUCCCUGUGUAACCCUGGCUGUCCUGGAACUCGGCUCUGUAGACCAGGCUGGCCUCGAAUUCCAGAGAUCUGCCUGCCUUGGUUUCCCGAGUGCUGGGAUUAAAGGCGUGUGCCCCCUGAGCCGGUUCAUGUGCUGGCUCUUAGGAGGACUAUACCACAUAUCCUUGGGGAUGCUGAGUCCCCGAGGUGCGGUGAUCUGCUUCGCGCCACGAUACGUGCUUAAUUGAGAAGCUUGUUGACUUAAACCCAGCUACCUUCUAGCCUUCUUUGUAGUUGAUAAGAGCUAUAAGAAACCCUUUGGUUUUUGCUACUCCAGAGAGUAUCCAGUCUGGACAGCUGGCACAUCCUCUGCACGUUAGCUUGUCUCUCCGGCUCCUCCUUCUGGCUCUCGAGGACCAUGUGCUGGCUCAGUUCAGAGAUGGUGACUCUUUCCUCUCCAAGUCACUCUUCACUCCACAGCUUGGUGUUGACAGUGGCGAGUCACAUCUCUAUCACGGCCUCGUCCUGUGGAGGCCUAGCCCAGUUCUCUCCAAGCAAGAAGGGACUUUGGCAGGGACUCCGGCUACUCUGUAAAUUGCAUCAUUUGUUUUCUCGAAAGUUUUUCAUCAAACAACUGCGUCUACAGAAAGGUUGACUUCCUGCAAUCCCCGUUCCUCAGAUCUGCGGAGUUCUUUAAACAUGGACUGUAAUGCAGAGUUUUAUGUUGUUCUUAGUGAUACUCAGUAUACAGUAUAUUAAAGUGGAGGUAACCCAACAGUAGUAAGUGUCUAUUCAGGGGAAACUAGACCCCCUCCAGAUCAAAGGGACGCCAACUCUCUGGCUGUGGUAGAGACCAGAUAGUUCAGUUGGGUCAGGUCACCACUGCUCUUCUAAAAAAGGCAGGACCACCCCAGGAAGGUAGACUCACCUCAAGUCAUUCUU